UACGUAGGGUGCAAGCGUUAAUCGGAAUUACUGGGCGUAAAGCGUGCGCAGGCGGUGAUGUAAGACAGGUGUGAAAUCCCCGGGCUUAACCUGGGAACUGCAUUUGUGACUGCAUCGCUGGAGUGCGGCAGAGGGGGAUGGAAUUCCGCGUGUAGCAGUGAAAUGCGUAGAUAUGCGGAGGAACACCGAUGGCGAAGGCAAUCCCCCGUGGGCCUGCACUGACGCUCAUGCACGAAGCGU
rnacentral:rRNA from 1 species